AGUAUCCAGAGUGAAAGCGAACUAUCCACUGUAUGUGAACGGUAACAGGGAAGCAGUCUGGAGGGAUACAGUGCGGACAGGAAGAUCUAGAAGGGCUCAUUAUUGAUGAAUUGUCUGAACAUCUGAAAAGCUUCGAAAGAGAGAAAAAUCACCAACAUUCUACAAAGAUCUACUGGACCCACCAGGAAAGGACCAUGUUCGGUUAAUAAACCAGCGAGGCUGCUGCACCCAGGACCUCCAUUCAGCCACAAGACCAGAGGACACGACUUGGGAUCUUCCUGACACUCCACAAACCUGCACAGAAAAGAUAGAGGAAAUAUGGAAGGAACAGGACUGGAGGGUUAUUGGUCACCAGCUACUCACCAGUAAUGGAGGGAUGUUUGGGAAGCAGCAUAGAAGCUUUAGGGGGAUAAAAAACCAAGUAAAUAUAGGCAAGAUUCUAUGGAAAAUGAGGACAUUGGAGGAGGACUGGAGCAGUUAUAUAAGACAUUUUCUGCUGUCAAGUGUCAAAGAAGCGUUCCAAAGAGGCUGAAGUAUUCAGGGCUGGAAUAUCUCCUUCAUGCCCCUCCCAUCCCGUUUGAUUGACAGCCAGCUGGAAGCCGAGCCCUGUCUCUAAAUCUCAAACUUGUGCAACAAUUUUUCCUUCCCUGCAGACCCUGUGCCGCUUAGUCAUCCAAAAGCAUGUGAUCCAUAGACUGGCGAUCGAUUGGCUGGAUUUACCGCAGCUACUGAAGAAUUUCUGCAAGUAUGAGUGAUGAAACCAAUGGACACGGAUAUGGGGACUUCCUAGUGUAGUGGUC